AUUGAACGCUGGCGGCAGGCCUAACACAUGCAAGUCGAGCGAGCGUCUGCCGCGUUUGUAAUGUCUGGGAAACUGCCCGCUGGCGGGGGAUAUCUCUUGGAAACGGCAUCUAUUACCCCAUACCAUCUUAUGUGCCCAGCUGGGUUUAGCUAGUAGGUGGGGUAACGGCUCACCUAGGCGACGAUCCCUAGCUGGGUGGUGAGGAUGACCAGCAACACUGGGACUGGGACACGGUCCAGAAUCCUGCGGAAGGCAGCAGUGGGGAAUGUUGCACAAUGGGCGCAAGCCUGAUGCAGCCAUGCCGAGUGUGUGAUGAAGGCCUUCGGGUUGUAAAGCACUUUCAGCGGGGAGGCGUUACCCGCAGAAGAAGCACCGGCUAACUCCGUGCCAGCAGCCGCGGUAAUAG
rnacentral:rRNA from 1 species